rnacentral:rRNA from 1 species
GGACUACCCGGGUAUCUAAUCCCGUUCGCUCCCCUGGCUUUCGCGUCUCAGCGUCAGAUGGCGUCCAGGACCUCGCUUUCGCCACGGGCGUUCCUUCCGAUCUCAACGCAUUUCACCGCUCCACCGGAAGUUCCAGGUCCCCCUACGCCCCUCCAGGCCGGCCGUUUCGGCACCCCUUCCCCGGUUGAGCCGGGGGCUUUCAGUCGCCGACGUACCCGCCCGCCUACACGCGCUUUAAGCCCAGUGAUUCCGAAUAACGUUCGCACGGUUCGUCUUACCGCGGCUGCUGGCAC